rnacentral:rRNA from 1 species
AGUGAACGCUGGCGGUAGGCCUAACACAUGCAAGUCGAGCGAACAGACGAGGAGCUUGCUCCUCUGACGUUAGCGGCGGACGGGUGAGUAACACGUGGAUAACCUACCUAUAAGACUGGGAUAACUUCGGGAAACCGGAGCUAAUACCGGAUAAUAUAUUGAACCGCAUGGUUCAAUAGUGAAAGACGGUUUUGCUGUCACUUAUAGAUGGAUCCGCGCCGCAUUAGCUAGUUGGUAAGGUAACGGCUUACCAAGGCAACGAUGCGUAGCCGACCUGAGAGGGUGAUCGGCCACACUGGAACUGAGACACGGUCCAGACUCCUACGGGAGGCAGCAGUAGGGAAUCUUCCGCAAUGGGCGAAAGCCUGACGGAGCGACGCCGCGUGAGUGAUGAAGGUCUUCGGAUCGUAAAACUCUGUUAUUAGGGAAGAACAAAUGUGUAAGUAACUAUGCACGUCUUGACGGUACCUAAUCAGAAAGCCACGGCUAACUACGUG